AUGAAUUUUAUUAACAGAAAUAAGAAGCUGCGUGAAAAUAAAAGUAAAUUAAAAAAAAGGGAGAAUAUACUUGUUAAUAUUAAAAACGAAAAUGUAUCUGAUAAAAGUGGUAGUAACAAAAGUGGUAGUAAUAAAAUUUACCAUUGCAACAAAACAAAUAAACAUUAUUUAAAUAUUCCAAAAAUUAGUGAUAAAACUAAUUUAUUAAAUAAAAAAAAUCAAAAAUAUAUUAAUAAUUUAUAUGAUGUGGAAUAUAUAUUAAAAAACAUAAAUUCGAUAAAUUUAAAUUCAAUAAAUUAUGAAAACAUUGCUAUUGAUUAUAAUAUGUUACAAAAUAGAACUAUUGAACAUAUAAAUAAAAAUGUUAAUUUUUUAGACUAUUCUUUGGGUUCUGGUGAAAACAAUAGUAGGGACAUUAAUCACAGCAGAAACAAUAGAGAGAUAUUACAUGCUGAUGAUGUAAUAAUGAAUGGUAACUUGUCCAAAUCCCCUGAUUUGUAUGAUUUAAAUAAUAAAUAUAUUAAUUUAAAUAUUAUUCUAUUAAAAGAAUUGAAAGAACAAAAAAAAAUAAACAUUGUUUAUAGUCAUAUAUUAAAUAAGUUACUAAAAGAGUUAAAUAAUUUAAAAGAUGAAAAAAAAAAAUUAAAAAAAAAAGUAUUACUUUUACAACAAAUUAAUAAUGCCAAACAAUAUAAAUGUAUAUGUCAGAAAACAAAGAACAAAAAAAAAAAAAUAAUAAAUUCAUGUUUAAAAAUAAAAAAUUUUAAUAAUAAUUAUUCUUUAUGUGAUAUUUCUAAUGAAUACGAUAAUGGAAUAAAACAGAAAGUAAACAAAUAUGGUAAUAGUACAAAUGACGAUUGUGGAAAAAGCUAUGACUAUGUUGAUGGUGUUGGAUAUAUAGACGGAGUUAUUGAUAACAUGAACACCAUCAGUACUGUUGUGGGUGCAAGCGGACAAAAUGAUAAAAAUAUAAAGAACAAUAUUAAAACUUUUUCUUUAAGUAAAAAAAAUAAAUUAAAAAAAAUAAAAAUGAUAACAAACUCCUAA
ensembl:lncRNA